GCUAGGAUUCUAACCCUACACCGUUAUCCGGUUAGGGGACAGUUUCAGGUGGUCAGUUUGACUGGGGCGGUCGCCUCCUAAAAGGUAACGGAGGCGUGCAAAGGUUUCCUCAGGCUGGUCGGAAAUCAGUCGUAGAGUGUAAAGGCAUAAGGAAGCUUGAUUGUGAGACCUACAAGUCGAACAAAGACGAAAGUCGGCCUUAGUGAUCCGACGGUUCCGAGUGGAAGGGCCGUCGCUCAACGGAUAAAAGUUACUCUAGGGAUAACAGG
rnacentral:rRNA from 1 species